CCCAAACAACCACUUAAGUCUAGAUGGACAAGCUUGUUUAGACAUCCAAUGGGAGUGCGAAGUUCUACCAAUUUAUGACACUCUUUGAGAGAUAGCUUCUUGAGAUUUGGAGUCAUCCCAAGGUCAAAGGUCCUCAAUUUUGAAUGACUAAUAUUGAGUUUGGUGAGCUUUUGACAUUCAUUGGCCAUGUGAAGUUCUUCCAAACAACGAGAUUCUUGAAGAUUUAACGUAUCUAGAUUUGGAGUCAUCCCAAGGUCAAAGGUCCUCAAUUUUGAAUGACUAAUAUUGAGUUUGGUGAGCUUUUGACAUUCAUUGGCCAUGUGAAGUUCUUCCAAACAACGAGAUUCUUGAAGAUUUAACGUAUCUAGAUUUGGAGUCAUCCCAAGGUCAAAGGUCCUCAAUUUUGAAUGACUAAUAUUGAGUUUGGUGAGCUUUUGACAUUCAUUGGCCAUGUGAAGUUCUUUCAAACAACAAGAUUCUUGAAGAGUUAACUUCUCUAUAUUUGGAGUCAUCCCAAGGUCAAAGGUCCUUAAUUUUGAAUGACUAAUAUUGAGUUUGGUGAGCUUUUGACAUUCAUUGGCCAUGUGAAGUUCUUUCAAACAACAAGAUUCUUGAAGAGUUAACUUCUCUA
rnacentral:lncRNA from 1 species